GCGUUAUCCGGAUUUAUUGGGUUUAAAGGGUGCGUAGGCGGCCUGUUAAGUCAGGGGUGAAAUUUUCCAGCUCAACUGGAAGCUUGCCUUUGAUACUGAUGGGCUUGAAUGCAGCUGAGGUAGGCGGAAUGUGACAAGUAGCGGUGAAAUGCAUAGAUAUGUCACAGAACACCAAUUGCGAAGGCAGCUUACUAAAGUGUGAUUGACGCUGAGGCACGAAAGCGUG
rnacentral:rRNA from 1 species